UCGCGAGAGCAAGCGGACCUCAUAAAGUGCGUCGUAGUCCGGAUUGGAGUCUGCAACUCGACUCCAUGAAGUCGGAAUCGCUAGUAAUCGUAGAUCAGAAUGCUACGGUGAAUACGUUCCCGGGCCUUGUACACACCGCCCGUCACACCAUGGGAGUGGGUUGCAAAAGAAGUAGGUAGCUUAACCUUCGGGAGGGCGCUUACCACUUUGUGAUUCAUGACUGGGGUGAAGUCGUAACAAGGUAACCGUAGGGGAACCUGCGGUUGGAUCACCUCCUUA
rnacentral:rRNA from 3 species